UCGGUGAUUCAACUUUGUACCGGUGGUAUAAGGCAGUUUAGUGACUCUUAAAAUACAUUAAAUUCUGUCUCCGAACAACCUAUUUUUAACUCAAGUUUGAGUUAUCUGUUUGAGUAUUUAAUUUACUAAUGAUAUUAUCCAGCGAGAUAUCCUAGCUUUGGGAUGCCCACUACCCUGCAAUAGAAGCUCCUUUAGUCUUGAAUAUACAUAUAUUCGUCAAGAGAAGAUUGAUAUUGACUGGGGAAGAGAGGAUUUCGAUUUUGCUAUUUCUAUUUGGGCAAAGGAUUUUCAAAUAGAGGACAGCGAAGAGAUAACAGUGUGUGAUUCAACCUGCCUUCUAGGGGAGGUGAAUGUCAUUUAUCAGGACUAGAGGCGACGUAAGGGGGGAGGGGAGAUGCCCCCCCUAGAAAAAAUUAGGACACAACUUCAAAAAGGGGAAAACUUUUAGAGUCUUUUUUAUUAUUUAAAAUUGUAUUUUCAAGAAUAUUUUCUUUAAGUCAUUUUGCUUUUGUUAAUAUUUUGUAGCAACAUUUUUGACUGAAAUACAUUUUGCUCAUAAAAAACUUCCUUAGCCGCAGCGCAGCGUUAGGCUCUAUUUUGUAGCGUACGGCAAUUCAGAAGGCCCAAAUUUAAUCAAACAUGUCAUUUAAUCUUUGUGAAUAUUAGCACAUUUACAGUCAAAUUAAUAAACAAUCCCUUUGAUACAGUGAUAACCAGAAAACUAUGAAUUAGGAAGACGACUUUUAGAUUCAAGUUAUA